CCUACGGGGGACUGCAGUGGGGGAUAUUGCACAAUGGGGGGAACCCUGAUGCAGCGACGCCGCGUGGGUGAAGGAGUGCUUCGGCAUGUAAAGCCCUAUCGGCAGGGAAGAAGCAAGACGGUACCUGACUAAGAAGCCCCGGCUAACUACGUGCCAGCAGCCGCGGUAAUACGUAGGGGGCGAGCGUUAUCCGGAUUCACUGGGGGUAAAGGGAGCGUAGACGGCCAUGCAAGCCAGGGGUGACAGCCCGGGGCCCAAACCCGGGACUGCCCUUGGAAGUGUGCGGCUAGAGUGCGGGAGGGGCAGGCGGAAUUCCUGGUGUAGCGGUGAAAUGCGUAGAUAUCAGGAGGAACACCGGCGGCGAAGGCGGCCUGCUGGACCGCGACUGACGUUGAGGCUCGAAAGCGUGGGGAGCGAACAGGAUUAGAUACCCCAGUAGUC
rnacentral:rRNA from 1 species